rnacentral:lncRNA from 1 species
AUGGAAGGUGGUGGUGCUGGGGUAGAGGGCGUCGAGGAGACGGCUUGGUCAGCCAGGGGUUGGGAGGUGGACGGUGGCUGGAUCCACGACCAUCGAGGUCGGACCCACCCAAAUUUGCUUAGUGGGAGCUCGACAGUGAUGACGACUACCGCAAGGAGGAGGAUGGCGACAUUGCUUGCUGCUGUGCGGAUGGGAGGAAACAACUUCGACAAUGACCGGUGUCUUCCCAAGGUAGCGGCAAGGGGUGCUCGGAGAGUGGAGGUUGCUGGUAAUGACGGAGACGCUAUCACAUGCGAGGGUUGGGAGACUCCGGGUGAAAGGCGAAGUCCUUUCCGGGCCACUAGUGACGACACUCUUGGGCACUGUAACCCUGUUAGGGGCAUUGUCGUGGUGUCUCUCCUCUCUAUGGUUGAAUCCUCAGGUGAAAGCCACGCCCUGGUUCCUAGGACGGGCGACGGGGCACCAUUGGCAUUGCAACCUCUAGAGAAGCUUCGUUUGGAGAACGAAGGAAGGAAUAAGGUUAUCCCCAACCUCCUGGCCUCGUCGAUGGAGAAAGAGGAUGGGUGUAGCCGUGUAGGAGGAGCGGUGGCCAACGAUUGCGUCGAGGAUGGGUGUAGGUACAGGGGACGGCUAGUGCUACAUGCGUUGAAUGCGGAGGCUACGGAGUGGAGUGAAGAAGUGUGAGGUGGGAAAU